GGCUGGCGCAGCUACCAUGCAGUCGAGCGGAACGAUGGAAGCUUGCUUCCAGGCGUCGAGCGGCGGACGGGUGAGUAAUGCAUAGGAAUCUGCCCGAUAGUGGGGGAUAACCUGGGGAAACCCAGGCUAAUACCGCAUACGUCCUACGGGAGAAAGCAGGGGAUCUUCGGACCUUGCGCUAUCGGAUGAGCCUAUGUCGGAUUAGCUAGUUGGUGAGGUAACGGCUCACCAAGGCCGCGAUCCGUAGCUGGUCUGAGAGGAUGAUCAGCCACAUCGGGACUGAGACACGGCCCGAACUCCUACGGGAGGCAGCAGUGGGGAAUAUUGGACAAUGGGCGAAAGCCUGAUCCAGCCAUGCCGCGUGUGUGAAGAAGGCUUUCGGGUUGUAAAGCACUUUCAGUGGGGAAGAAAUCCUCGGGGCCAAUACCCUCGAGGGAGGACAUCACCCACAGAAGAAGCACCGGCUAACUCCGUGCCAGCAGCCGCGGUAAUACGGAGGGUGCGAGCGUUAAUCGGAAUUACUGGGCGUAAAGCGCGCGUAGGCGGCGUGAUAAGCCGGUUGUGAAAGCCCCGGGCUCAACCUGGGAACGGCAUCCGGAACUGUCAGGCUAGAGUGCAGGAGAGGAAGGUAGAAUUCCCGGUGUAGCGGUGAAAUGCGUAGAGAUCGGGAGGAAUACCAGUGGCGAAGGCGGCCUUCUGGACUGACACUGACGCUGAGGUGCGAAAGCGUGGGUAGCAAACAGGAUUAGAUACCCUGGUAGUCCACGCCGUAAACGAUGUCGACUAGCCGUUGGGGUCCUUGUGACCUUUGUGGCGCAGUUAACGCGAUAAGUCGACCGCCUGGGGAGUACGGCCGCAAGGUUAAAACUCAAAUGAAUUGACGGGGGCCCGCACAAGCGGUGGAGCAUGUGGUUUAAUUCGAUGCAACGCGAAGAACCUUACCUACUCUUGACAUCGUGCGAACUUUCCAGAGAUGGAUUGGUGCCUUCGGGAACGCACAGACAGGUGCUGCAUGGCCGUCGUCAGCUCGUGUUGUGAAAUGUUGGGUUAAGUCCCGUAACGAGCGCAACCCUUGUCCCUAUUUGCCAGCGAUUCGGUCGGGAACUCUAGGGAGACUGCCGGUGACAAACCGGAGGAAGGUGGGGACGACGUCAGGUCAUCAUGGCCCUUACGAGUAGGGCUACACACGUGCUACAAUGGCCGGUACAAAGGGUUGCGAAGCCGCGAGGUGGAGCUAAUCCCGAAAAGCCGGUCUCAGUCCGGAUCGGAGUCUGCAACUCGACUCCGUGAAGUCGGAAUCGCUAGUAAUCGUGAAUCAGAAUGUCACGGUGAAUACGUUCCCGGGCCUUGUACACACCGCCCGUCACACCAUGGGAGUGGACUGCACCAGAAGUGGUUAGCCUAACUUCGGAGGGCGAUCACCACGGUGUACGGU
rnacentral:rRNA from 1 species